AAUGAAUUCAUAUCAAGUUAGUCUCCCACUACUUAUUUCAUUUUUCUACGUCUUCUAUCAAAUAGUUAUUGCAACUGCAACUGCACCUGCAAAUAAUUCAAGUGGAUACAGUGUUUUGCAAAAACACGUUGCAUAUUUUGAUAGGAACCACGAUGGAAUCAUUUAUCCAAAAGAAACUUUUGAAGGAUUUAGAGCGUUGGGUUUUGGAGUUGCAGCAUCAACAAGGGCUGCGGCUUUAAUUCAUGCCGCUACUAGCCAAAAAACUCGUCCGG